ensembl:misc_RNA Metazoa_SRP Metazoan signal recognition particle RNA
GCUGGGUGCGGUGGUGCGUGCCUGUAGUCCCAGCUACUUGGGAGGCUGAGGCUAGAGGACUGCUUGAGUCCAGGAGUUCUGGGCUGUAGUGCGCUAUGCCAAUUUGGCAUCUGCACUAAGUUCGGCAUCAACAUGGUGACCUCCCUGGGGUGGGGGACCACCAGGUUGCCUAAGGAGGGGUGUACUGGCCCAGGUCAGAAAUGGAGCAGGUCAAAACUCCCAUGCUGAUCAGUAGUGGGAUCACGCCUGUGAAUAGCCACUGCACUCCAGCCUGGGCAACAUAGCGAGACCCCAUCUCU